rnacentral:rRNA from 1 species
AGCAGCCGCGGUAAUUCCAGCUCCAAUAGCGUAUAUUAAAGUUGUUGCAGUUAAAAAGCUCGUAGUUGAAUUUCGGGGUUUAUCCGUUGGUCGGGCUUUUUGGUCUGUACUGGCGUGAUGGAUUCCUACCUUCUGAAUAACCGGCAUGCCAUUAAUUUGGUGCGCCGGGGAAGCAGGACUGUUACCUUGAAAAAAUUAGAGUGCUUAAAGCAGGCUUAUGCCUGAAUACAUUAGCAUGGAAUAAUGAAAUAGGACGGCAUGGUUCUAUUUUGUUGGUUUCUAGGAUCACCGUAAUGAUUAAUAGGGAUAGUUGGGGGCAUUAGUAUUCAAUUGGCAGAGGUGAAAUUCUUGGAUUUAUUGAAGACUAACUUCUGCGAAAGCAUUUGCCAAGGAUGUUUUCAUUAAUCAAGAACGAAAGUUAGGGGAUCGAAGACGAUCAGAUACCGUCGUAGUCUUAACCAUAAACUAUGCCGACUAGGGAUCGGACGAUGUUAAUUUUUUAAUGACUCGUUCGGCGCCU